rnacentral:rRNA from 1 species
GAUGAACGCUGGCGGCGUGCCUAAUACAUGCAAGUCGAGCGAACGGACGAGAAGCUUGCUUCUCUGAUGUUAGCGGCGGACGGGUGAGUAACACGUGGAUAACCUACCUAUAAGACUGGGAUAACUUCGGGAAACCGGAGCUAAUACCGGAUAAUAUUUUGAACCGCAUGGUUCAAAAGUGAAAGACGGUCUUGCUGUCACUUAUAGAUGGAUCCGCGCUGCAUUAGCUAGUUGGUAAGGUAACGGCUUACCAAGGCAACGAUGCAUAGCCGACCUGAGAGGGUGAUCGGCCACACUGGAACUGAGACACGGUCCAGACUCCUACGGGAGGCAGCAGUAGGGAAUCUUCCGCAAUGGGCGAAAGCCUGACGGAGCAACGCCGCGUGAGUGAUGAAGGUCUUCGGAUCGUAAAACUCUGUUAUUAGGGAAGAACAUAUGUGUAAGUAACUGUGCACAUCUUGACGGUACCUAAUCAGAAAGCCACGGCUAACUACGUGCCAGCAGCCGCGGUAAUACGUAGGUGGCAAGCGUUAUCCGGAAUUAUUGGGCGUAAAGCGCGCGUAGGCGGUUUUUUAAGUCUGAUGUGAAAGCCCACGGCUCAACCGUGGAGGGUCAUUGGAAACUGGAAAACUUGAGUGCAGAAGAGGAAAGUGGAAUUCCAUGUGUAGCGGUGAAAUGCGCAGAGAUAUGGAGGAACACCAGUGGCGAAGGCGACUUUCUGGUCUGUAACUGACGCUGAUGUGCGAAAGCGUGGGGAUCAAACAGGAUUAGAUACCCUGGUAGUCCACGCCGUAAACGAUGAGUGCUAAGUGUUAGGGGGUUUCCGCCCCCUAGUGCUGCAGCUAACGCAUUAAGCACUCCGCCUGGGGAGUACGACCGCAAGGUUGAAACUCAAAGGAAUUGACGGGGACCCGCACAAGCGGUGGAGCAUGUGGUUUAAUUCGAAGCAACGCGAAGAACCUUACCAAAUCUUGACAUCCUUUGACAACUCUAGAGAUAGAGCUUUCCCCUUCGGGGGACAAAGUGACAGGUGGUGCAUGGUUGUCGUCAGCUCGUGUCGUGAGAUGUUGGGUUAAGUCCCGCAACGAGCGCAACCCUUAAGCUUAGUUGCCAUCAUUAAGUUGGGCACUCUAAGUUGACUGCCGGUGACAAACCGGAGGAAGGUGGGGAUGACGUCAAAUCAUCAUGCCCCUUAUGAUUUGGGCUACACACGUGCUACAAUGGACAAUACAAAGGGCAGCGAAACCGUGAGGUCAAGCAAAUCCCAUAAAGUUGUUCUCAGUUCGGAUUGUAGUCUGCAACUCGACUACAUGAAGCUGGAAUCGCUAGUAAUCGUAGAUCAGCAUGCUACGGUGAAUACGUUCCCGGGUCU